AUUGAACGCUGGCGGCAGGCUUAACACAUGCAAGUCGAGCGGGGAAAGGUAGCUUGCUACUUAACCUAGCGGCGGACGGGUGAGUAAUGCUUAGGAAUCUGCCUAUUAGUGGGGGACAACAUCUCGAAAGGGAUGCUAAUACCGCAUACGUCCUACGGGAGAAAGUAGGGGACCUUCGGGCCUUGCGCUAAUAGAUGAGCCUAAGUCGGAUUAGCUAGUCGGUGGGGUAAAGGCCUACCAAGGCGACGAUCUGUAGCGGGUCUGAGAGGAUGAUCCGCCACACUGGGACUGAGACACGGCCCAGACUCCUACGGGAGGCAGCAGUGGGGAAUAUUGGACAAUGGGGGGAACCCUGAUCCAGCCAUGCCGCGUGUGUGAAGAAGGCCUUUUGGUUGUAAAGCACUUUAAGCGAGGAGGAGGCUACUGAGAUUAAUACUUUUGGAUAGUGGACGUUACUCGCAGAAUAAGCACCGGCUAACUCUGUGCCAGCCGCCGCCGUAA
rnacentral:rRNA from 1 species